AGGGCACCACCAGGAGUGGAGCCUGCGGCUUAAUUUGACUCAACACGGGGAAACUCACCCGGCCCGGACACCGUAAGGAUUGACAGAUUGAUAGCUUUUUCAUGAUUCGGUGGAUGGUGGUGCAUGGCCGUUCUUAGUUCGUGGAGCGAUUUGUCUGGUUUAUUCCGAUAACGAGCGAGACUCCAGCCUACUAAAUAGUUCGCACAUUGUCUCUGUGUGUGUGACUUCUUAGAGGGAUUUUCGGUGUUCAGCCGCACGAAAUUGAGCAAUAACAGGUCUGUGAUGCCCUUAGAUGUCCGGGGCUGCACGCGCGCUACACUGGCAAAAUCAGCGUGCUUGUCCUUCCCCGAAAGGGGUUGGUAAACCCUUGAAAAUUUGCCGUGAUUGGGAUUGGAAAUUGCAAUUAUUUUCCAUGAACGAGGAAUUCCAAGUAAGUGCGAGUCAUCAGCUCGCGUUGAUUACGUCCCUGCCCUUUGUACACACCGCCCGUCGCUGCCCGGGACUGAGCCAUUUCGAGAA
rnacentral:rRNA from 1 species